AAGACUAUAGACCUGCGGAGUACCUGCGGAAGGAUCAUUAAAGAGUUUAACUACUCAAACCAUUGUGAACCUUACCUCAACCGUUGCUUCGGCGGGCGGGCCCGGGCCAAGCCCGGCGCCCCCCCGGCCCCUCGCGGGCGCCCGCCGGAGGUUAACCGAACCCUUGAAUUGUAUGGCCUCUCUGAGUCUUCUGUACUGAAUAAGUCAAAACUUUUAGCAACGGAUCUCUAGAUCGGAAGA
rnacentral:misc_RNA from 1 species